rnacentral:rRNA from 1 species
GACGAACGCUGGCGGCGUGCCUAAUACAUGCAAGUUGAGCGCUGAAGGUUGGUACUUGUACCAACUGGAUGAGCAGCGAACGGGUGAGUAACGCGUGGGGAAUCUGCCUUUGAGCGGGGGACAACAUUUGGAAACGAAUGCUAAUACCGCAUAAAAACUUUAAACACAAGUUUUAAGUUUGAAAGAUGCAAUUGCAUCACUCAAAGAUGAUCCCGCGUUGUAUUAGCUAGUUGGUGAGGUAAAGGCUCACCAAGGCGAUGAUACAUAGCCGACCUGAGAGGGUGAUCGGCCACAUUGGGACUGAGACACGGCCCAAACUCCUACGGGAGGCAGCAGUAGGGAAUCUUCGGCAAUGGACGAAAGUCUGACCGAGCAACGCCGCGUGAGUGAAGAAGGUUUUCGGAUCGUAAAACUCUGUUGGUAGAGAAGAACGUUGGUGAGAGUGGAAAGCUCAUCAAGUGACAGUAACUACCCAGAAAGGGACGGCUAACUACGUG